GCGCAAGCCUGAUCAGCCAUGCCGCGUGAUUGAUGAAGGCCUUAGGGUUGUAAAGAUCUUUCAGAUGGGAAGAUAAUGACGGUACCAUCAGAAGAAGCUCCGGCUAACUCCGUGCCAGCAGCCGCGGUAAUACGGAGGGAGCUAGCGUUGUUCGGAAUUACUGGGCGUAAAGCGUACGUAGGCGGACUAUUAAGUCAGAGGUGAAAUCCCAGGGCUCAACCCUGGAACUGCCUUUGAUACUGGUAGUCUAGAGGUCGAGAGAGGUGAGUGGAAUUCCGAGUGUAGAGGUGAAAUUCGUAGAUAUUCGGAGGAACACCAGUGGCGAAGGCGGCUCACUGGCUCGAUACUGACGCUGAGGUACGAAAGUGUGGGUAGCAAACAGGAUUAGAUACCCUGGUAGUCCACACCGUAAACGAUGAAUGCUAGUCGUCAGGGGACUUGUCCUUUGGUGACGCAGCUAACGCAUUAAGCAUUCCGCCUGGGGAGUACGGUCGCAAGAUUAAAACUCAGGAAUUUUUGGGGGUUCG
rnacentral:rRNA from 1 species